UAGGCAGCACUGACUCCUACUGUUCCUGGGAUUAGUGGCUCUGAUUAUUAUAGGGCUUUGCUCCUCCCUCCUGUCUCUGUGGCUGAAACUUCUUGAGUGAGCAAGUCCAGAUGAAAAAUGCAAAUAUUUCUGGGUGGUAUUCAACUAAGUUUUAUGCAGAAUAGGCCCAUUUAAAUCAAUGGACCUAACUUAUUCAUGUUCAUUAAUUUCAGUGGGCCUACUCUGAGUAAACUUCAUUGACUACAAGUUCUGCUUAUAGACGUGGGCUUGGGUGAGCAACUAGCACACUGAUCUGAAUGUUGCUUGUUCUGCUAUAACAUUCCUGUUUGGCCCCGCAAAUCUCAGAGUUUGUGCACAAUAAAUUCCAAUUAAAAAAAUUUAAAAUAAUAUUUGUGAAUUAGGAGCAUAUUAUGUUUUGCUCAGUUUCUUUUGUUUUAGCUUUAGUGGUGAACAGUUGCUGUUUCAAAAUUAUGAAAGGAACAGAAAAUAGUCACUCAUUACAUGGGGCAGUAUUUUGGGAUCCAAGAGCAUGUGUAAACAUCAAAGGUAUGCAGUCCUAUCGACUGCAAUUUAUGUGAUCGCAGAAGGAGCCUCCACAGCAUUAAAGCUCCCCUCCUGGCAGAGGGCAUUGGACAUGCACAUCUGCUGUACCCUAAGCCGCUUCAGCAGUAAAGACGAGGCAGGAAGAGCUCGCAGCAAGAAGUCUCGGUCCAGGAACAAAAAGAAUGUUGCCUUGUGCCAGCUGUGUGGCUAGCACAAAUUAAACAGGGUAAGCCUUUUUCUAGCAUGGGAAUACAAUUAUGGGGAAAGCUUUACGUGAUGACAUUUUAUCCAUCAGACAUAUUAUUAUUUGCAUGUGGCCCCUGAUUUAGUUUUGAAUGAUUCUGUAAAGGAAAUUUUCUAACAUUUAUGUAAGAGACUGGGAUCUACUGGUAGAACACUGGUUUGCAGUACAUAAACAACAGUUUCAGAUUCCCAUUUAUUUCACAAGAGCAACAACACAAUGUCUGAAUUAGGCUGUUGUGCAAAGAAAGCUUGUUGGAAGGAAACAGGAGCAGAUUUUUGUGUAAAAAGACUGAGCUCAGUUAAGAUAAUAAAACAGU